CUACGGGUCGCUGCAGUGGGGAAUUUUGGACAAUGGGGGCAACCCUGAUCCAGCCAUGCCGCGUGAGUGAAGAAGGCCUUCGGGUUGUAAAGCUCUUUCAGCCGGGAAGAAAUCGCAUGGGUCAAUACCCUGUGCGGAUGACGGUACCGGAAUAAGAAGCACCGGCUAACUACGUGCCAGCAGCCGCGGUAAUACGUAGGGUGCGAGCGUUAAUCGGAAUUACUGGGCGUAAAGCGUGCGCAGGCGGAUGCUUAAGUCAGAUGUGAAAUCCCCGGGCUUAACCUGGGAAUUGCAUUUGAAACUGGGUGUCUGGAGUGCGUCAGAGGGGGGUGGAAUUCCACGUGUAGCAGUGAAAUGCGUAGAUAUGUGGAGGAACACCAAUGGCGAAGGCAGCCCCCUGGGAUGACACUGACGCUCAUGCACGAAAGCGUGGGGAGCAAACAGGAUUAGAUACCCUCGUAGUC
rnacentral:rRNA from 1 species